AUCGGGAGGGCGGCCAGAGCACGCAACUAUGUAAGAAGUCUGGCUGCCAUGAUGCCACCAUGCUGGAGGGACCACAUGGACAUACCAUGAAGAUAUAUAGAGAAAUGCUUUAGAAACCUCAGCUGUUCCGUCUUUCAGCUAUUUGAGUCUUCCUAGGCCAAGGGCCAGAUAUAUAAACAAAGAAGACUUGAUGGUGACUCCAGCCUUAGUCAACGUCUAACUGCAACCACGUGAGAGACUUUCAACCAGAACUAUGCAGUGGAGCUGCUUCUGAACUCCUGACCCAUAGAAACCAUGAAUGAUAAUAAAUGAUUGCUGUUUUCCUUAAAUGUUUGGUCGCAUUUCUCAGUGAAAUCAUCUGUGCCUAGAAUUUUCUUUCUAGAAAAGUUUCAAACUCCAAAUUCAAUUCUUA
rnacentral:lncRNA from 10 species